rnacentral:rRNA from 1 species
UACGUAGGGGGCAAGCGUUGUCCGGAAUCAUUGGGCGUAAAGCGCGCGUAGGCGGCCCGGUAAGUCCGCUGUAAAAGUCAAAGGCUCAACCUUUGAAUGCCGGUGGAUACUGUCGGGCUAGAGUCCGGAAGAGGCGAGUGGAAUUCCUGGUGUAGCGGUGGAAUGCGCAGAUAUCGUAAGGAAGACCAGUGGCGAAGGCGGGUCUCUGGACAGUUCCUGACGCUGAGGCACGAAGGCCAGGGGAGCAAACGGG